rnacentral:rRNA from 1 species
GAUGAACGCUGGCGGCGUGCCUAAUACAUACAAGUCGAGCGAACAGACGAGGAGCUUGCUCCUCUGACGUUAACGGCGGGCGGGUGUGUGACACGUGGACAACCUACCUAUAAGACUGCGAUAACUUCGGGAAACCGGAGCUAAGAGGGGAGAAUAGAUUGAACCGCAGGGUUCAAGAGUGAAAGAAGGUUUUGCUGUGACUGAUAGAUGGCACAGCGCCGCGUGAGCGAGGUGGUAAGGUAAAGGCGUACCAAGGCGACGCUGCGUAGCCGACCUGAGACGGUGAUCGGCCACACUGGACCUGAGACACGGUCCAGACUCCUACGGGAGGCAGCAGUAGGCAAUCUUCCGCAAUGGGCGAAAGCCUGACGGAGCAACGCCGCGUGAGUGAUGAAGGUCUUCGGAUCGUAAAACUCUGUUAUUAGGGAAGAACAAAUGUGUAAGUAACUAUGCACGUCUUGACGGUACCUAAUCAGAAAGCCACGGCUAACUACGUG